rnacentral:rRNA from 1 species
CCAGACUCCUACGGGAGGCAGCAGUGGGGAAUAUUGCACAAUGGGGGGAACCCUGAUGCAGCGACGCCGCGUGGGUGAAGAAGUAUUUCGGUAUGUAAAGCCCUAUCGGCAGGGAAGAAAUUGGACGGUACCUGACUAAGAAGCCCCGGCUAACUACGUGCCAGCAGCCGCGGUAAUACGUAGGGGGCAAGCGUUAUCCGGAUUUACUGGGUGUAAAGGGAGCGUAGACGGUUACGCAAGUCUGGAGUGAAAGGCGGGGGCCCAACCCCCGGACUGCUUUGGAAACUGUAUAACUGGAGUGCAGGAGAGGUAAGUGGAAUUCCUAGUGUAGCGGUGAAAUGCGUAGAUAUUAGGAGGAACACCGGCGGCGAAGGCGGCCUGCUGGACCGCGACUGACGUUGAGGCUCGAAAGCGUGGGGAGCAAACAGGAUUAGAUACCCUCGUAGGG